CACAUCAGUGGAGGGACGACGGAGACUGAUCCCAGCUGUGGGGAACUGCAGAAAGGCUGUGAGGGUCACACUCCAUGGCAGUCUCCUCAUCCUUCAUGGGAAACUGGGGAUCACUUCCAAAACUACAGGACAAGAGGUGACAAGGCAGACAGUGAUUCAUCAUAAUUCAUAAUUAAGAUUUCUGGAGGGUCACACUCCAUGGCAGUCUCCUCAUCCUUCAUGGGAAACUGGGGACCACUUCCAAAACAACAGGA